rnacentral:rRNA from 1 species
AAGAGAUUAGGCCCUCCUUCGGGACACGAAGACAGGUGUUGCAUGGUUGUCGUCAGCUCGUGUCGUGAGAUGUUGGGUUAAGUCCCGCAACGAGCGCAACCCUCAUAUACAGUUGCCAAUAUUUAGUUAGGAACUCUGUAUAGACUGCCGUGGUUAACACGGAGGAAGGUGGGGAUGACGUCAAAUCAUCACGGCCCUUACGUCCUGGGCUACACACGUGCUACAAUGGCUAUUACAAAGAGUAGCGAUACAGUAAUGUGGAGCGAAUCUCAAAAAGAUAGUCUCAGUUCGGAUUGUGGGCUGCAACUCGCCCACAUGAAGUCGGAGUUGCUAGUAAUCCCGAAUCGGCAUGUCGGGGUGAAUGCGUUCCCGGGUCUUGUACACACCGCCCGUCACGCCAUGGGAGUUGGGAGUGCCCAAAGUCACUGACUUAACCGCAAGGGGAGAGGUGCCUAAGGUAAUACCAAUGACUGGGGUGAAGUCGUAACAAGGUAGCCGUAUCGGAAGGUGCGGCUGGAU